rnacentral:tRNA from 1 species
GGCCCGGUGGCGGAGUGGUGACGCAGAGGACUGCAAAUCCUUGUACGCCGGUUCGAUUCCGGCCCGGGCCUCCA